rnacentral:lncRNA from 1 species
GUUUUGUUAUUUGACUUAAAUACAACAGUAGAAUGAAUAGUAAAUCUCCGAUUAGUCGUGUCAGUGAAAUGGUGAUGUCUCUUCCUAUUCACUCUAAACCUAUCUUCCUUAGUUACCUAGACAACUAUCAAAUUCGUUUUAUUUCGCAGCAUCUUCAAAUGUUAGUUCCUGACAUAAUACUCGAUGAUAAGUCAGCCACUUCCUUCCUAGACAGAUCUGACAAACUUUUUGCAUGGGACUGUACAUAUCAGAUUGCUAGCUAUAAUCAUACUGGUUUUUGUCAUUUUAGAAUCUGUUGAAAAUAAUAGAGCAUCUUGUAGGUAUGAGCUUAAUACUUAAUUCCUUUGCUAUAUUUUUAAUUGGUUUCAAUGUUGUCUCAUAUGGCAUCUGCACAUAUUUAGGCCCAACUGAUAUAAUUUUAUUAGUAUUUUCAUAAAAAUUAAAGCUUUGUAUUUGCUG